CCUACGGGAGGCAGCAGUGAGGAAUAUUGGUCAAUGGACGAGAGUCUGAACCAGCCAAGUAGCGUGAAGGAUGACUGCCCUAUGGGUUGUAAACUUCUUUUAUAAAGGAAUAAAACGAGGCCCGUGUGCCUUUUUGCAUGUACUUUAUGAAUAAGGAUAGGCUAACUCCGUGCCAGCAGCCGCGGUAAUACGGAGGAUACGCGCGUUAUCCGGAUUUAUUGGGUUUAAAGGGAGCGUAGAUGGGUUGUUAAGUCAGUUGUGAAAGUUUGCGGCUCAACCGUAAAAUUGCAAUUGAUACUGGCAGUCUUGAGUACAGUUGAGGUAGGCGGAAUUCGUGGUGU
rnacentral:rRNA from 1 species